rnacentral:rRNA from 1 species
GAUGAACGCUGGCGGCGUGCCUAAUACAUGCAAGUCGAGCGAACAGACGAGGAGCUUGCUCCUCUGACGUUAGCGGCGGACGGGUGAGUAACACGUGAUAACCUACCUAUAAGACUGGGAUAACCUCGGGAAACCGGGGCUAAUACCCGAUAAUAUAUUUAACCGCAUGGGUCAAUAGUGAAAGACGGGUUUUCUGUUACUUAUAGAUGGGUCCGCGCCGCAUUAGCUAGUUGGUAAGGUAACGGCUUACCAAGGCAACGAUGCGUAGCCGACCUGAGAGGGUGAUCGGCCACACUGGAACUGAGACACGGUCCAGACUCCUACGGGAGGCAGCAGUAGGGAAUCUUCCGCAAUGGGCGAAAGCCUGACGGAGCAACGCCGCGUGAGUGAUGAAGGUCUUCGGAUCGUAAAACUCUGUUAUUAGGGAAGAACAAAUGUGUAAGUAACUAUGCACGUCUUGACGGUACCUAAUCAGAAAGCCACGGCUAACUACGUG